UACAGAGGGUGCAAGCGUUAAUCGGAAUUACUGGGCGUAAAGCGUGCGUAGACGGUUAUUUAAGUCAGGUGUGAAAGCCCCGGGCUCAACCUGGGAAUUGCAUUUGAGACUGAAUAGCUAGGGUGCGGAAGAGGGAAGCGGAAUUUCCGGUGUAGCGGUGAAAUGCGUAGAUAUCGGAAGGAACACCAGUGGCGAAAGCGGCUUCCUGGUCCAGCACCGACGUCAGGCACGAAAGCGUGGGGA
rnacentral:rRNA from 1 species